rnacentral:lncRNA from 10 species
AAGCACAGGAAUCACAGUGACUGUGCACCGUGACCGCCACACAGCAGUCUGAGGAUGUGAUGACCACAGAGCUCCUUCUUGGGGACUGGCGUUUCCCAUGCUCUGCAUGUGUGUGUGUGUGUGUGUGUGUAGGGGUGUGUGGUCAGGGUGAGAGCACAGUGCCCUGGAGGGCAGUUCCGGGAGAACAGUGAGGACAUCUCCAACAAGGGGCUGGGGGACAAACACACCCUCUCCCGCAGCACAGGGGACUGGACUCUCCCCAGAUCUCCUGUGCAGCUGAGCUGCCCACAUGUCUCUGUCUGUCCAGCUUGCUGAGGACAAUGUGUUAAGAACCGUCUGCUCAGCUCAUAAAGAGGCUUGGCCCUUCCGCCCCGGCUCUGGUUGGGGGUGUUUCAGGGAAACAGGCUUUCCAGGGAUGCUUCGGCAUGGCCGUGCCGUAUCCUGGCAACCAGACCCAAAGCCACAUCCUCUUGAGAGGACUGGGCAGGGUGGGGAAGUGGCCACUGCGUGGGGCUACCCCCAUUGUCCACUCCACCCUUAGCUGGCUCUAUGCAUACCCUGAGCUGUGCAGGAGUCACAGCUCUCCCUGAGUGCCACACCCUGUCCCAAGAUGGCCUGCAGGGCAUUCAGAGGUGCUAUUUUCCACCAUGGUCUCCCUGGGCUCCUGGGAAACUCCUUGGCCAUAACCUCAGUUUUCUCAUCUGCAAAGUGAGGUGGGCUGGGAGCCAC